UUUAUUGUACAAGGAUGUCCAAGAACAAAUUAUCCAUUGCGUAAAUAGGACAUUAUCUUGAGUGCACAUCGUACUCCGAUUCAGAAGGUGAGGAUUUCGAAUUGGAAAAAGAUGAAAAAUAUGUCCAACCCCCUCAAUCAAGUUCUUCUGAUUCUGAUGACUAUUCUGAUGUUUUUGACAAGCCUGUCGAAAUGUCAGGAUGCAAUCAAGUGACUCAAUUCCCGUCUUCUAAGAAACAUAAAUCAACCGACUUAUUAGAAGAGUCAAUGUAUGUUGGCAAGGAUAAUACAAUCUGGCACAAAAAAAUAGGAAAACAUUUUGAAGGAAGUCUCAGGUCCAUCAUCAUUUGCAAAAUGUAACACCAUUACAGAUGAAACAUUAUCAGCUUUUGAACUCUUGAUCGAUAAUUAUAUUAUUGAUCACAUUGUAAAAUGUACAAUAGUUGAGGCUCGUUCCAAACUUAAGAAUGAUGUAUGGACAACCAGCAAACGAGAAAUACUCCAACUGAUGGCAAUAAUGUAUGCUAGAGGAAUCUUAGCCAAAGGGCAGCCGACAGAAGUCGUUUGGUCAAGAAAAUUGGGGAUCAAUCUCUUUAGGAAUACUAUCCCCGAGCGACAGAUAUAAGGAAUUAUUGAGAUAUAUCCUCUUUGAUAUUCGUUCCACAAGAUCACAAAGACUUCAAAACGACAAGUUCGCCUUGAUUUCAAUGUUAUGGGAUCAAUUUGUCGAAAAUUGUAAGUCAUCAUACAGGCCAGGUGAAAAUAUUACCAUUGAUGAGGAACUAUUCCCAUAAAAAGAUAGAUAUCCAUUUACCCAAUAUAUGGCUAAAAAGCCUAAUAAAUUUGGUAUAAAAUUUUGGUUAGCAGUUUAUGCAUCGUCCAAGUACUUGGUAAAUGGAUUUCCUUACUUGGGAAAAGAUUCUCAAAGACCAGCAAAUAGAUCUUUAUCAGAAUAUGUCGUAAUGAAGCUAAUGGAACCAUAUUUGGGUAAAGAGAGGAAUGUUACAACAGAUAAUUUCUUUAGGUCAUUGUCUCUUGCAAAUAAACUUCAGAAAAAUAGGACGACUAUUUUAGGAACUAUGAAUCAUGCUCGCAAAGAAAUACCUCCUGAACUAAAAGCUACCAGACAAGCACUAUUUUCAAGCUUAAUCUUUGUAAAUAGUAAGCAUUGACUUCGUAUCAAGGGAAAAAACCAAAAAUGUUUUAAUUUUGAGCUCUGUUCACAAAAGUGUUAAAGUGUUAGAUGUACGAGAAAGGUUACCAGAAUCAAUCCAGUAUUAUAAUGAAACUAAGUAUGGAGUUGAUAUUCUAGAUCAAAUGGCAAGACUUUAUUCCACCAAAAUGUCCUCUCGCCGAUGGCCUUUACAAGUUUUUUAUAAUAUUUUGGAUUUUGCUGGUAUAAAUGCUGUUAUCUUGUACAGAGAAGUGACUCGU
rnacentral:lncRNA from 1 species